rnacentral:misc_RNA from 1 species
UACGUAGGGGGCAAGCGUUAUCCGGAAUCAUUGGGCGUAAAGAGCUCGUAGGCGGUUCAGCAAGUCGGCUGUGAAAGUCCAAGGCUUAACCUUGGAAAUGCAGUCGAUACUGCUGUGACUAGAGUCUGGUAGAGGAGAAUGGAAUUCCCGGUGUAGCGGUGGAAUGCGCAGAUAUCGGGAGGAACACCAGUAGCGAAGGCGGUUCUCUGGGCCUCGACUGACGCUGAGGAGCGAAAGCAUGGGUAGCAAACAGG